rnacentral:rRNA from 1 species
UACGUAGGUGGCGAGCGUUGUCCGGAUUUACUGGGCGUAAAGAGCGCGCAGGCGGCUGGUCAAGUCCGAUGUGAAAGCUCCCGGCUUAACUGGGAAAUUGCAUCGGAAACUGAUCGGCUGGAAGGUGGGAGAGGGUAGCGGAAUUCCCGGUGUAGUGGUGAAAUGCGUAGAUAUCGGAAGGAACAUCAGUGGCGAAGGCGACUUCCUGGACCAAUACUGACGCUCAGGUGCGAAAGCGUGGGGAGCAAACAGG